rfam:Clostridium sp. HMP27 Clostridium-HMP27_contig_8, whole genome shotgun sequence.
GGCCCCUUGGUCAAGCGGUUAAGACACCACCCUUUCACGGUGGUAACACGAGUUCGAGUCUCGUAGGGGUCA